AUGAAAAAGCUCACACUACGGCGACUGCUGGCCGUAGCCAUUAGUGUUGGAGCAGUCUUCAUAGCCUUUACACCAGAGACAUCUCACCGCUGCGACGCUGCUCAGGCGGUGGCUAAAAGCAUCUUCGUCGACCACACGGGCCGUGGUGACUUCAAGACCAUCCAAGCAGCCAUCGACUCCGUCCCUUUCGGCAACAACCAAUGGAUCCGUGUCCACGUCGCCGCCCGCACUUACACUGAGAAGGUGACUGUGCCAUUUAACAAAAGCUUCAUCCUGCUGGAAGGCGAGGGGAGGUUGCAGACGUCCAUCGAGUGGGCCGACCAUGCCGGCGGGUCGUCCACCACCGCCGACACCCCAACUUUUGCCUCUCAUGCCGACGAUUUCAUGGCCCGUGACAUCACGUUCAAGAACACAUACGACGGGGCCAGCCUGGCGCAAGCAGUGGCUGCCCUAGUUGACGGGGACCGGUCGUCAUUCUAUGGAUGUGGCUUCUUCAGUGUUCAGGACACGUUGUGCGAUAUGGCUGGGAGGCACUACUAUGAGAAUUGUGUCAUCGGCGGCGCCGUGGACUUCAUCUUUAGCAACGCCAGGUCCAUCUUUCAGGGAUGUAAUCUAUGGACAGGAAAGUUAACAAAGACGCUGGGAUCCAUCACGGCGCAUGGGCGAGACAGUGACAAAGAUGACACCGCAUUUGUGUUCAAACAAUGCAAGGUGGGCGGCUUCAUGCCGAUAUACCUCGGACGUCCAUGGCGAGACUAUGCUAGGGUCAUCUUCUACCAGACCAACAUGUCUACCGUUGUGGACCGCCAAGGUUGGGACAUCUGGAACUCCAAGGGCAAAGAGGGAUUGCUAACGAUGGUGGAAUCGGAGUGCAUAGGGGCGGGGUCCAACACGACGGAGCGAGUACCGUGGGCCAAGCAGCUGAGUGGCAAAGAAAUCGCUACAUUCGUCAGCUUGUCCUACAUCUCUCCCGAUGGCUGGCUCGACGCACAGCCACAUUAG
rnacentral:rRNA from 1 species